GCAAUCGGACGGACCGAAGCCUCGUGACAAAGGUCGCCUUGGGCGGCCGAGCAAUCCAGCGGGCCGUAACGUGA
rfam:Bradyrhizobium sp. NAS80.1 Bradyrhizobium_NAS_80.1_c226, whole genome shotgun sequence.